rnacentral:rRNA from 1 species
CUAUCAUUAACUGAAUCCAUAGGUUAAUGAGGCGAACCGGGGGAACUGAAACAUCUAAGUACCCCGAGGAAAAGAAAUCAACCGAGAUUCCCCCAGUAGCGGCGAGCGAACGGGGAGGAGCCCAGAGCCUGAAUCAGCAUGUGUGUUAGUGGAAGCGUCUGGAAAGGCGCGCGAUACAGGGUGACAGCCCCGUACACAAAAGCGCAUAUGCUGUGAGCUCGAUGAGUAGGGCGGGACACGUGGUAUCCUGUCUGAAUAUGGGGGGACCAUCCUCCAAGGCUAAAUACUCCUGACUGACCGAUAGUGAACCAGUACCGUGAGGGAAAGGCGAAAAGAACCCCGGCGAGGGGAGUGAAAAAGAACCUGAAACCGUGUACGUACAAGCAGUGGGAGCACCCUUUGGGGUGUGACUGCGUACCUUUUGUAUAAUGGGUCAGCGACUUAUAUUCUGUAGCAAGGUUAACCGAAUAGGGGAGCCGGAGGGAAACCGAGUCUUAACCGGGCGUUAAGUUGCAGGGUAUAGACCCGAAACCCGGUGAUCUAGCCAUGGGCAGGUUGAAGGUUGGGUAACACUAACUGGAGGACCGAACCGACUAAUGUUGAAAAAUUAGCGGAUGACCUGUGGCUGGGGGUGAAAGGCCAAUCAAACCGGGAGAUAGCUGGUUCUCCCCGAAAGCUAUUUAGGUAGCGCCUCGUGAAUUCAUCUCCGGGGGUAGAGCACUGUUUCGGCUAGGGGGCCAUCCCGGCUUACCAACCCGAUGCAAACUGCGAAUACCGGAGAAUGUUAUCACGGGAGACACACGGCGGGUGCUAACGUCCGUCGUGAAGAGGGAAACAACCCAGACCGCCAGCUAAGGUCCCAAAGUCAUGGUUAAGUGGGAAACGAUGUGGGAAGGCCCAGACAGCCAGGAUGUUGGCUUAGAAGCAGCCAUCAUUUAAAGAAAGCGUAAUAGCUCACUGGUCGAGUCGGCCUGCGCGGAAGAUGUAACGGGGCUAAACCAUG